UAGAAUGGUGUCUUAAAAUUGGCAAUGAAGGUCGACAAGCCACUGCGAAGUGCUCCUGCACUAAGGUAUAUAUCUAUCAAGGACUGCACUGGUGUUUGUGAUCAGGGAAAUGUUGGCCUGUUUUCUUCACCUUCUUUGGUCCUGACAAAGGGGAUUGUUGGUGAUCUUCUCCAUGAAAUAGCAUGCUCAUGUCAUUUUUAUCAUUGUUUGUUCUGUUUCAGUUUCAUUAGAUUAUUUGCAUUUAAUACUUCUAUUUUCCUUAGGUAAUGCGCACAACUUGAACAAGUUUGGCAUAUUUCUGUGAGUGCAUGAAGGAGGAAGCAAGUUAAAUGGGUAAAAUUCAAACUAAUUGUGGUGAACACCUGUACUUAUACAUGCCCACAAGCUAUUUGAGUUGAUGUGUAAGUUAUUUUUGUUACACACUUAUAUGAAUAUGCUUUUAUGAUCGCUCUUGCUCAUUGUGUUAUAAUAUGAUUGCUGCAAUCACUACUUAUCUUCCUAAAUUAUAUUUUGCUUCUUUCUAUAUGCUUGAUGAGUUUAUAUUUCAUCCAAAGAUCACGCAGGGCUUCAAUCUAACAGAGAGCAGGAUCUUAAGGAAGAUGUUAAGCAUGGAUAACUUCAAAGGGGUUCGAAGGGGAAACUUUUAGAAUUCAUCAGAUUGCCAUUUUGAACUGUAAGUUUAUUUCUCUUUUGCUGCUGUUUGUUUGUUUUUUAUUUGCUUUGCUCUUUCUCUAGCUGGGUAGUUGUUUUUUUUAUUCCUUCUCUAUAUGACACUUGCAUGUUGUUAUUUCUACUAAAUCAGGUUAAAGAUAACAUCUUUAUGCCUAUUUUGUGAAUUGGAUCAUUUUGAAUUUUUCGUUUAGCCAUUUGCAACUGUAAUUUUGUUUCUCUUUUGCUGCUAUUGUAACAUUUUUAUUCAUAUCUCAAGGCUAAGCUUCUAUAUUGUGAUAUCACAGAUACUUCUCUUGAAGCAUAGAGGUGAGAAAAUAUGUGGGGCCUUUAGGCUGGCAGUGUUCUCAUCUGAUCAAUUACUUGGAGGUCAGCAGCAGUAUCUCUAAUUAGUGAAUUAGUACUAAAUACCAUCUGUAUUAUCAAUCAGUUUUUACAUCAAAGUAAGAUGUGCAUGGUCUAGGGAAUUAAUGGAGUGCCAAAAAUUAAGAAUGGUUAUAAUCCUGCAACUUGGAUGUUGGAGGUUACUUUACAAGCCCAAGAAUCCCAUAUCCAUGUCAUUGGAAACUUGAUUCAGAUGUUUGGAAGCAAACAUUGCUCUUUAACACAGAAUUUUUUUAUGUAUGAGGGUUUGUCAUGAUACAAGAGUUGGGUGCUCAAAAGAGAACAGGUAGAUCUUGGAAUGGGAGGAAGUGGAUAUUGGGGGAAUGCUAUGUCAUGUGUAAAAAUGAUUAAGAAUGGAAAUAAAGAAUAAUGGAUGGAGAGAAAAUAUUUAUAUGAUUCAAGAUAUACAUUUUGUUCCUUCUUUGGUUUAUUUUUUGCAUUCUAAUUUCUUUAAAGCAUUCUUUUAAUCUUUUUAUGCAAAGCUUUCUGCAUUUUGUUGAGUAUGUGUGACUCUAAUGUUGUUCUCAUCCUUUCGUUCUUUGCUUUAGUUUUUGGUGUUGCACUUUCUUUAAUGUUGUAGUUCAUUUGUUUCUUUCAGAGUCCUUUCUCUUUUGUUGAUUUCUCUUUCGCCUCUUUUCGUCUUUCAAUUUUUCUUUAUAAUUAUUCUAUCAUAUUUUCAGGUAAUUAGUGGGUACUAUGUUUAAUUGCUUUGAGGACGGUGACAGUUUUGAAAGGUAAGCCCUGUAAUGCAAUUAUAGACCUCAUCCCUAUUCAUAGUUGUUUGAUUCUUAGUUGCCUAUUUGUGCAUGACUUUCACUAUGCACGAUGCAGUACUUUCAGAAGUCUAAACCGGGCAAAAUCAGUGAAAAAAAUUUAUCACUUUUUGUUUUAGCUUUAUAAAUUAUAUCUCUUUGUUAGUAACUGUUAAUUAGACUAUUUUUACCAAGUAGCUAGGCUACCUCAGUAUGUGAUCUAAUUCUUGGGUUAUGUAGGGGGUAUAAAAAAGGAGUCAGGAUAUAGGUGAUGUAAAUUAGGUGAUUUAUUAUUUGGGACAUUAAGAGUCCAACUAAGUGCCUCUCAAUUUGAGGUUAAGGAUGCUUUUAGACACCUUACUCUGCAGGUUUUAUGCAUAUUCCUUGACUGAGGGUUCUUUUAAUAUUUACUAUUGUUCCCAUGCCCACCUGGAUUGCUUUUCCAUUUUCCAUUUACUUGACUGAGGUUAAGUAUGAUUUUAUGAAAUUCUCUCAUUUCUUUUCUCUAAUGCAGCUGCUUACUUUGUCUCUUCGAAAUUUGAGUGCUUGAUGUUAUUUGAUCAUUCGAUUAAUCUGAGAGGGGGAUGCUAUUUUUUAGAAGACAAAAAAAUUGAUUUUGGUGUUUUAUUGUGUUUCAGUACCAAGGGAGCAAAUGUGAGGUGCAGUUUCAGCAAAUCAACAAAUCUUAUGAUAUAAUAUCCCCCUUCCCCAUUCCUGGCCUGCUCCUCCUUUUUGCAUCCCUAUGACUAUACACUCAACAGGACUCUUGACUAAAUGCAAGGAAGUUACCUUCAUACUGAAAAGAAGGCAGUUUAAGUUACACCUUGUCCAGCCACAUAAACUAAAAAGAAGAAAAAUUAUGUACGCUUUGGAUGUCAUGCUGACUUAGCAUCUGGAGUAUCUUCAGAUGAUGGCCAUAUGAAGCAAAUCAAGUCCUCAAAUAACCAAUUUGCAUGUAAAUCAUCAUUGUAUCCUACCCCACCCCUUUUCACUAUUUGUUUUUUAUAUUCUAGAACUUUUUAAACUGCCAAAUAACUAUCUACUAAAAGACAUGAUAAUUGCUAUUAAAGUUUGUGUACAAUAUUUAGUGCAGAAUAUCAGACAAUGGGACCCAU
rnacentral:lncRNA from 1 species